GAUGAAGAACGCAGCGAAAUGCGAUACGUAAUGUGAAUUGCAAAUUCAGUGAAUCAUCGAGUCUUUGAACGCACAUUGCGCCCCCUGGUAUUCCGGGGGGCAUGCCUGUCCGAGCGUCAUUGCUGCCCUCAAGCCCGGCUUGUGUGUUGGGCCCCGUCCUCCGAUUCCGGGGGACGGGCCCGAAAGGCAGCGGCGGCACCGCGUCCGGUCCUCGAGCGUAUGGGGCUUUGUCACCCGCUCUGUAGGCCCGGCCGGCGCUUGCCGAUCAACCCAAAUUUUUAUCCAGGUUGACCUCGGAUCAGGUAGGGAUACCCGCUGAACUUAAGCAUAUCAAUAAGCGGAGGA
rnacentral:misc_RNA from 1 species